rnacentral:rRNA from 1 species
AGAGUUUGAUUCUGGCUCAGGAUGAACGCUGGCGGCGUGCUUAACACAUGCAAGUCGAACGAGGUCCAACCUUCGGGUGAAGACCGAGUGGCGAACGGGUGAGUAACACGUGGGGAACCUGCCCUUCUCUCUGGGAUAACCUCGGGAAACCGAAGCUAAUACCGGAUACUCCUUGCGGACCGCAUGGUCUGCUCGGGAAAGCUCCGGCGGAGAAGGAUGGCCCCGCGGCCCAUUAGCUUGUUGGUGGGGUAACGGCCCACCAAGGCGACGAUGGGUAGCCGAGCUGAGAGGCUGAUCGGCCACACUGGGACUGAGACACGGCCCAGACUCCUACGGGAGGCAGCAGUGGGGAAUCUUGCGCAAUGGGCGAAAGCCUGACGCAGCAACGCCGCGUGCGGGAUGAAGGCUCUCGGGUCGUAAACCGCUUUCAGCAGGGAUGAAAAUGACAGUACCUGCAGAAGAAGCCCCGGCUAAAUACGUGCCAGCAGCCGCGGUAAUACGUAUGGGGCAAGCGUUAUCCGGAUUCAUUGGGCGUAAAGCGCGCGUAGGCGGCUUGUUAAGUCAGGCGUGAAAUCCGGGGGCUCAACCCGCGGCUUGCGUCUGAAACUGGCAGGCUUGAGUCUGGUAGAGGAAAGUGGAAUUCCUGGUGUAGCGGUGAAAUGCGCAGAUAUCAUGAGGAACACCAGUGGCGAAGGCGGCUUUCUGGGCCACGACUGACGCUGAGGCGCGAAAGCUAGGGGAGCGAACAGGAUUAGAUACCCUGUAGUC